GACGAAGGAUGCAAGCGUUAUCCGGAUUCAUUGGGUUUAAAGGGAGCGUAGGCGGACUGGUAAGUCAGUGGUGAAAUCUCUCAGCUUAACUGAGAAACUGCCAUUGAUACUGCCGGUCUUGAGUACAGAUGAUGUGGGCGGAAUAUGACAUGUAGUGGUGAAAUACUUAGAUAUGUCAUAGAACACCGAUUGCGAAGGCAGCUCACAAAACUGUAACUGACGCUGAGGCUCGAAAGUGCGGGGAUCAAACAGG
rnacentral:rRNA from 2 species